UGUUGGUCCUGCUUAAUGUCGACCUGCUUAGUGUCGAACUGCUUAGAGGUCUUAGUGUUGGCCUGCUUAAUGUCGACCUGCUUAGUGUCGAGCUGCUUCGAGGUCUUAGUGUUGGUCCUGCUUAAUGUCGACCUGCUUAGUGUCGAACUGCUUAGAGGUCUUAGUGUUGGCCUGCUUAAUGUCGACCUGCUUAGUGUCGAGCUGCUUCGAGGUCUUAGUGUUGGCCUGCUUAGUGUCGAGUAUUUGAUUGGUAUUCUUACAUUAGCUAGGCUGUGCAUCAGUCAAGUCAUUUAAGGUGAUAUGUAACAUGAGCAUCUCCCCACCUCUAAAUGACCAUCCAUCAGAGUUGUUGCAUAUGAACCAGCCCUAACAUUGUCC
rnacentral:lncRNA from 13 species